GGAUUAGAUACCCUGGUAGUCCACGCCGUAAACGAUGUCUACUAGUUGUUGGGAGACUUGAUCUCUUAGUAACGAAGCUAACGCGAUAAGUAUCCCGCCUGGGGAGUACGGCCGCAAGGUUAAAACUCAAAGGAAUUGACGGGGACCCGCACAAGCGGUGGAGCAUGUUGUUUAAUUCGAUGCAACGCGAAGAACCUUACCUAGACUUGAUCCUCAUCGUAGAUUAUGUAAUGUAAUCGUCAGUUCGGCUGGAUGAGUGACAGAUGCUGCACGGCUGUCGUCAGCUCGUGUUG
rnacentral:rRNA from 1 species